rnacentral:rRNA from 1 species
AUGAGUUUCAUCUCGGAGCUAGAAGGAAUAAAGGGUGGCCAGAAGGAAAAAGGCAGGGGCGUGCCGACGUUCAUAGACGGAAAUACGAAGCCCAAAAAACCACCAACAGGUCACUGCAAAAUCCAUGUUGAUGCAGGAGUCCGGGGAAGGACAGGUGGCGUUGUUGCUACAGUUUGCAGGGAUGAGGAAGGAAAUUUUCUGGGCAGCUCUGCUCUUGUUAUCGAAGGUGUAACUGACCCAGCAAGUCUAGAAGCGAUAGCAUGUCGGGAGGCACUAGCCCUCGCCGAGGAUUUGGGCAUUCAGCAAUUUGUGAUUGCUUCGGACUGUCAGCAGGUGGUUUCGGACAUCAGAAGAGACGGACGCGGUCCAUAUGGAGCAAUCAUCAGCGAGAUAAAUCUGAAAGCUUCAUCGUUUUAUUUUUGCGUGCGGCACGGCAGAGCACGCGCAGACGCCGUGACAGUCGCACGGACGACGCGGGCACGCCGGAGCAGCACCGCCGCCGGUAGGGAAGAAGCUCGCAUGACCUCGCGUGGAUGCAGCCGCACGCGUUUCAUGCAGGUCCAGCAGGGCUGUCGUCCUUACGCGGCCGGAGGACACACGCCGCGCUCGACGGUGCUGGCCGGAGCACGCACACCGCGCUGCACAGCACUGGCCGGAGCAUGCAACAAGCACAUGCGCGGCUGCGCGUGCAGCCGCCCGACGCUCAAGGACGAAGGUCGUGCCUGCUGCUUAGAGAGGAGCGACGACAGGCACAUCCGAUGCAGGGAUAUGAGGCGACGACAGGCACAUCCGAUGCAGGGAUAUGAGGCGAGGGAUAUGUGA